GCGCGGCACAGAGGCGGAAGCCGGAGUAACGGCAAACAGAAACUUUAUUUGAACAAUGGCAGAGCCAACACAAAAACACCCGUGCAGUUCGGGAUAAACCGGAAAACGGCAGUUCACUUAGAUUACCCACGGAGCGUUAUGGAUGAGGCGCGGCAUGGAGGGAAGCGACGGGGAAGCGUCGGGAGUCCGAGGCGCGCCGGGGAAGCCAAACGCGGCCGUGGAGUGAGCGAGGAGUCCGGGUGAAGACGGCACGCAGCGGGAAAAGCACAUACGUGAAGCACACAGCAUAAACCUGCACAACCACGCACGAACGAACAAUAACGGACCAGGAAUGUGGGAUGGAACAAUGACAUUGCUUCUAUUCUUCAUUUUCUUUAUUUGAUUCCAUCAUCAACACAAGAGGCAAGAUACCUUAAAAGAUCUCAAGAUCUCAUCUGAAACUGAAAAACACUAUCUUCAAAAAGAGCACCUUGACUCCAGUGAAGAAAGCACACGGCCAUACCUGCUUGCCAGGGGUACAAAGAAGAACAGCAUUCAUGGCUCCAUCAAGCAGACGUUCUGGGACAUCUCCUAAGAGUGGUCUCCGCAAACAAUAUCACCAAUUCCAGCUCUUCUCACUUGCUACUGAUAUUGCUCGAUUUAUUGAACAUCUCUCUAGCCCAAAUGUUCCAGAGAAUCCCUGUCUGCCUCCUCGCAUCGUGGAGAGCUCCUUUACGCGUAAAAUGGGCACACAGACCUCAUCUGACCUCUCUGCUGCCUUCGACCAACAGACCCAAACUUAUGAUCACAACCUGCUUUCCUGCAACAAGACCACAGUCUUCUCCUUAUCCCUCACGCUGGUCUCACACAUCUCCAGUCCCUUCAUCCGAUUAUCUUGCUGCUUUACCUUCACCUGACUCUAAGCCAGAAUACUCCCUCAUGUCUUCUGCAGCUGAAGAGGCCCACAAGCUUUUUUUAUCCCAAUAAACAUGCUUAGACUCAAUAAAUUCAACAUACUCAUAGCAUCAGUCAGAUUUUAUUCUACUCUCACACAUAAAUGGCUUACUAUGAUCAUUUUGCUUAUACUUGUGUAAAUAGGUUAUAUAAGUUUGAUUAACA